rnacentral:lncRNA from 1 species
UGCAAGGAAAAAAAAAGUGCAUGUUGAAAAUAGGAGCUGCAAACAGCAAGCCACAGGAAGUUUUGAUCUGGACUUUGAAAGUCUCCUUCCAUCGGUCGGUAAUCUGUUUUCCAAAGAAAACCAUGUUUGUAGAGAACAAGCCCAGAAACAAAAAGGGGGCAAUUUGAACGUUUGAAAACUUGGCCUAGAAGAGUAUUUCAUUCAUCAUUCUAAAAGAAAUGUUUUCCUAAGGGGCUUUUCUAAAUUGCUGUUGAAACUUUCAGCUUUUUCCACUUUAAAAAGGGGGAAACAUCUUUGGGAAAAGACUAUUUUUCCCUCAGGCAACUUGAUUUUUUUUUUAGGUCUUGACAAGCCUUGGUAUGCCCAGGUAGCGGGUCUGUUCUCCCAGCCCUAAACUGUGACCUCAUUGUGGACAUGGAAUGUCACUGUUUAAUGUUGUAUUGUACUUCCCAAGUGCUUAGUACAGUUUUCUGCACUCAGUAAGUGCUUAAUAAAUAUGAUUGAAUGAAUGAAUGAAAGAAUAAAAGUAUUUGGAUUCAAUUGCUUGCCCUCACUUUGGCUUUGACAGAUAUCAGCAGAAUCCAAUAGAACCUCAGGGCCCUAAGAAGGGCUCCGCCUGGCAGUUUUGUCAUUACGAGCAUGACAUAACCCGGCCCGAGUGUCACCACCUACUAUUAAUGAGAGGUUCCAUCACUGACUGAACCACGGCACUUGUUCCUUUGGUGACUGCUGACUGAUGGCACAGCAUUUCCACUCUCCAGUUUGGACUCACUGUAUAGCCAGCCACUGGGAAAAAGGUUUUGUGAACUGAAGCUGAGACUCCAUGGAGACUUUUCUGGAAGAGACGAGCUGUUUACGGGAAAGAAGUGGUGUUGGCUCAUCCCUGGGCUCUCCAGCCUGGGGCUCAGAGCAGACGUUGUAAGAAAGCAGAGACAGGAUGUCGACAAGGUUGGCUUUUGGACUGGGCUACUUGUCCAAAUGAGAGUCACGUGCACUAUCACCCCUUGCUCUCUGGCUCUCUUUUGGCGUAUAAUCUCUCAAAUAAAUAAUAAUAAUAAUGCUGAUAUUGGUUAAGCACUUACUCUGUGCCAAUCCCUGUGUUAGUUACAAUAUAAGCAGAUAAUAAUAAUGAUUCUAAGGGCCGGAGCACUGUUCCGAGUGCUGGUAUAUAGUCUCUUGACUCCUCCUUCUCGUUCAACCACCACCCGGCUAUUCCCAUAUUCACCCUGUUACCAAAUCCUGCCGGUUCCUCCUCUAUAUUAUUCCCAGAAUCCACCCCAGCCU